GUAGGUGGCAAGCGUUGUCCGGAAUUAUUGGGCGUAAAGCGCGCGCAGGCGGUUCGUUUAAGUCUGAUGUGAAAGCCCACGGGCUCAACCGUGGAGGGUCAUUGGAAACUGAAGAACUUGAGUACAGAAGAGGAAAGCGGAAUUCCACGUGUAGCGGUGAAAUGCGUAGAGAUGUGGAGGAACACCAGUGGCGAAGGCGGCUUUCUGGUCUGUAACUGACGCUGAGGCACGAAAGCGUGGGGAGCAAACAGGAUUAGAUACCCUGGUAGUCCACGCCGUAAACGAUGAGUGCUAAGUGUUAGGGGGGUUUCCGCCCCUUAGUGCUGCAGCUAACGCAUUAAGCACUCCGCCUGGGGAGUACGGCCGCAAGGCUG
rnacentral:rRNA from 1 species